UAUAUAUUCCUACGGGAAGCAGCAGUGAGGAAUUUUUCAUUAGGACGAAAGUCUGAUGGAGCAAUACCACGUUAACGAUGAAGGGCUUCUGAUUGUAAAGUUCUUUUAUUUAGGAAAAAAAGCGUGCUAGGAAAUGAGAGUGUCUUGAGGCUAGGAUAUAGGCAACAGUCGAAGCGGUCUUG
rnacentral:rRNA from 1 species